AAGGCCCACAAGCUUCGGAAGAUAUCUGAACUCUUCCUUUAUACUCAGCGAUCUUUGUUCAUCUGAUCUGUAAUGCUUUUAAAGCUCUUCCUUUGUCAGAUGCGAUGUGUGCCAAAAGGAUGUCCCAGUGGCGCUCAUAAGCUUUCACAAUUGUAGCCUUGAUGCCAAAAUAAAGACCAACAUAGGGGACGAUUACAAGAUUAAAGUUUGGAACUACAAGAUGCAUAGAUGUCUUUUUACUCUUCUCGGGCAUCUAGAUUAUAUUCGUCCCGUGCAAUCUCACUUUUUUUAUGCUUGAAGCUUUGUUGAAAGAUUUGUACAAUGAUGUAAGUUUUAUAAUGGUCUAUGCUACAUGUGCUCUAUGCACUAUAGUCAUUCUCAUUAAGGUUUAUGAACCAUUCGUUUGAAGGCAAUGAUUUCUUAUUCUUGGUCCCCAUACAGAGGA